rnacentral:misc_RNA from 1 species
AACGCACAUUGCGCCCGUUAGCAUUCUAGCGGGCAUGCCUGUCCGAGCGUCAUUUCAACCCUCAGGGCUCCCUUUAGGGGGAGACCUGGCGUUGGGGAUCGGCCCGCCCAGCGCGGCGCCGUCCCCCAAAUUCAGUGGCGGUCUCGCUGCAGCCUCCCCUGCGUAGUAGUUUACACCUCGCACCGGAGCGCGGCUAGGCCACGCCGUAAAACCCCCGACUUUCUGAACGUUGACCUCGGAUCAGGUAGGAAUACCCGCUGAACUUAA